AGGGAAAUAGCUCAGUGAUAGACCGCAUGCUUAGCAUGUAUGAGGUCCUGGGUUCAAACCCCAGUACCUCCA
rfam:Camelus ferus unplaced genomic scaffold scaffold1026, whole genome shotgun sequence.